AUUGAACGCUGGCGGCAUGCCUUACACAUGCAAGUCGAACGGUAACGGGCCUUCGGGUGCCGACGAGUGGCGAACGGGUGCGUAAUACAUCGGAACGUGCCCGAUCGUGGGGGAUAACGAGGCGAAAGCUUUGCUAAUACCGCAUACGAUCUACGGAUGAAAGCAGGGGGCCGCAAGGCCUUGCGCGGACGGAGCGGCCGAUGGCAGAUUAGGUAGUUGGUGGGAUAAAAGCUUACCAAGCCGACGAUCUGUAGCUGGUCUGAGAGGAUGAUCAGCCACACUGGGACUGAGACACGGCCCAGACUCCUACGGGAGGCAGCAGUGGGGAAUUUUGGACAAUGGGCGCAAGCCUGAUCCAGCCAUGCCGCGUGCAGGAUGAAGGCCUUCGGGUUGUAAACUGCUUUUGUACGGAAAGAAAAGCCUUCUUUUAAUACAGGAGGGUCAUGACGGUACCGUAAGAAUAAGCACCGGCUAACUACGUG
rnacentral:rRNA from 1 species